UAGGGAAUCUUCCGCAAUGGGCGAAAGCCUGACGGAGCAACGCCGCGUGAGUGAUGAAGGUCUUCGGAUCGUAAAACUCUAUUAUUAGGGAAGAACAUAUGUGUAAGUAACUGUGCACAUCUUGACGGUACCUAAUCAGAAAGCCACGGCUAACUACGUGCCAGCAGCCGCGGUAAUACGUAGGUGGCAAGCGUUAUCCGGAAUUAUUGGGCGUAAAGCGCGCGUAGGCGGUUUUUUAAGUCUGAUGUGAAAGCCCACGGCUCAACCGUGGAGGGUCAUUGGAAACUGGAAAACUUGAGUGCAGAAGAGGAAAGUGGAAUUCCAUGUGUAGCGGUGAAAUGCGCAGAGAUAUGGAGGAACACCAGUGGCGAAGGCGACUUUCUGGUCUGUAACUGACGCUGAUGUGCGAAAGCGUGGGGAUCAAACAGGAUUAGAUACCCUGGUAGUCCACGCCGUAAACGAUGAGUGCUAAGUGUUAGGGGGUUUCCGCCCCUUAGUGCUGCAGCUAACGCAUUAAGCACUCCGCCUGGGGAGUACGACCGCAAGGUUG
rnacentral:rRNA from 1 species